CCUACGGGUGGCAGCAGUGAGGAAUAUUGGUCAAUGGACGAGAGUCUGAACCAGCCAAGUAGCGUGAAGGAUGACUGCCCUAUGGGUUGUAAACUUCUUUUAUAUGGGACUAAAACAGGGUAUGCAUACCCUCUUGUAUGUACCUUAUGAAUAAGGAUCGGUUACCUCCGUGCCAGCAGCCGGGGUAAUACGGAGGAUCCGAGCGUUAUCCGGAUUUAUUGGGUUUAAAGGGAGCUUAGGUGGAUUGUUAAGUCAGUUGGGAAAGUUUGCGGCUCACGCGUAAAAGUGCAGUUGAAACUGGCAGUCUUGAGUACAGUAGAGGUGGGAGGAAUGCGUGGUGUAGCGGUGAAAUGCAUAGAUAUCACGAAGAACUCCGAUUGCGAAGGCAGCUCACUGGACUGCAACUGACACUGAUGCUCGAAAGUGUGGGUAUCAAACAGGAUUAGAUACCCGAGUAGUC
rnacentral:rRNA from 1 species